UCAAGAACUCCUCUUGUACACUGGAUAAUCGAACAGAGAAUUAUCUUCAUCGAUCUCUCUUCAGUAGCAGGUGAGUUCGCUUUAAGUUUCUCCCAUCCAAAAGUUAGGGUUUCUAUUUUAUUAUAAUGGAUUGAGUUAGAUUAUUUUUCCAACAUCAAAUCUCACAUUUUUCAUUAUUCUUAUUAUUAUCAGCUCGAAGUCUAAUUGAUUUAGUCCCUCUUAUUUGUUUCGUAAAUACUUUGAUUCGGUUAUGGGAAAAGGAAGGGAACAAUGAGAUGAAAAAGCAGCAACAUUUUUUUUAAGAUUUUAUUUUAUGAAAAGAUUCGAGAUUUUGAUUUAUUUGAUUUUCCUCUUCAUAUUGGAUUGGAAGACUGUUUGUUGUGCUUAUUGUGUUAUGAUCGGUGAAUUUAUAUAUUGAUUUUGAAGACCCAUAACCUUAACUGCAUGUAUUUUGGGUUGCAUUAGUUUUUGAUAUUGCAAGUAUUGCCUGUAGAAUUUGAAUGACUCUUCAGACUGGUUUAUGUGGAUUUUGAGUUUCUUGUGAGGCGGUUGCUUGCAUAGUCGUACUUUUGAAUACAUAGCAGUGGUAUAUUUUCUGAAGCUUAGCUUUGUAACGGAUUUCAGGCUUAUGUAUACAUACAGGCACAUAUGUUGGAACGUAUGCUGAUCAAUUGUUGAUUGAUAUGAGCUUAUAGGGACUACUCCACUUCCACUCUUUGAUAGUGUUGGAGACUUGGAGUGGGUGAUACAAUCUAAUUAACUCUGUAGCUUUUUGGAAAAUUAGGUUGUAUACAAGUUCUCAACAGUAUUGAGAAAAUACUUUUCUAAUCUGCUAUAAAGGAAUUCCUCCAAUUCUCCACUUUUUCUUGGCUCAUAUGGAGAAUUACAUAUCUAUUUGCUCGUGUAACUGAAGGAAAGGGAAUAAAUUGGAGAGAGAAUAAGGCACACCUCUUGUUUGAAUAACUAAUAUGGAAAAAAAAGGAAAAUAUAGUUGUUGACUAUCCUAUCUUUUUCAGAAGAGAAUGAUAUAGCUUUUUGAGGAAUUCUAGCUUUGGAAGGUUUCAGAGGAACAUCAAUUCCACCUUACUUACUUUGAUCUUUAAAAAAGGAGGGGUAAAAGAAGUUCAUGAUUUUAAGCCUAUUAAUUUUGUAGGCAGUCUGUGUAUAAUUCUGUCAAGGCCCUUUCCUUAGUCUUUGGAAGGUUGUAGCCUUGGUAUUUUGGAGACCUUGUGAGGAAGGCAGAUUUUAGAUAAUUCUAUGGUUGAGAAAGAAUGUUUCGAAGCUAUAAUUCAGUGGGGACGACGUCCAUGAGUGAUUUACAAGUUGGAUUUAAAAAGCCUAUAAUCGCGCGAACUGGGAUUUUCUUCUCUAUUUGUUUUAGAGGAUGGGAUUUGAUUAAAGACGUUUAGUAUGGAUUCAAGCUUGUAUUUCUUAGUGAGAUUCUCGGUGUUGAUUAAUGGGUCACUCAAAGUUUUUUCUUUUUACCCGUCUUUUAGAUGGGCAAGGCACAAGUAUUCUAUGUCAUCAUAAUUAUUCAUUAUUGUGAUAGAGGUCUUUUGUCAUUUGACGGGAGGGCAGUGGAGGCCGAUUGGAUUGGGGGCGUUUAGGUAGGGAAUGAAGAUUCAGACAUGUUCACACAUUUUCCUUUUGGGAAUUUUAAUUUUAUGAAAGGCGGAAGCAUAGUUAUUAAAAAUCGGACCGGACUGGCCGGUUCAACUGGUUGGACCGGGAUCCGGAGCCUAGGCCGUUCCGAUUUCAAUAAUAUACCGGAUGUACAUCUGAACCGUGAUGAACCACUCUAACCAGAUGGUUUCUUAAAAAAUCGGUGAACUGGCCGGCUAAGAAAGACCCAGUCCGAUUCAGUUCAGCUUUUGGAAAAGAUACUCAUGCUAAAAUUAUAUUCAUCUGUUUGAACUCAUCCUAGAAGCUAAAGGAUACCCAUUCUGAGUUUAGGUUGUAUUCUGUGUGUUGUGCUAUUUGAUGAUUGUGCUCCAUUAUUUUUGAACUAUAUUAGUUUGCUUUUAUAAUCAUUUGAAAUUAAAAAAAAUUAAACUAAGAACACAAUAGUAGAAGAUCGAAGAAGAUGAAAAAGCUAGUAAAUAAUAGUAAGAGAAGAUGGAAAAGAUGGAUUAUAUCCGUUGCUAGAUAGAUAGAGAGAGAGAGAAUGUGAAGGAGAUAGGGAAACUGAGAAUGAAGGGAAUGUGGGAAAUUAAAAAUGAAGAAGGGAUUAACUCUAGAAAAUGCCAAUACAUAUUCUCUUUUGACUAAUUAUAUACCACAUAAUAUAUGUGGGCCUACUCUUGCAUAAAGUUUGAUCGGUACUUGUAAUUGUUUUAUUGGUAUUAUGCAUUAAAGGUGAAGGUAAAAUAAAUCAAAACAAUUGAAUUGAUAUGUAUGUAUUUGUUAACAUAUUUAUUAACAUUAUUUCAUUGAUAUGUUUUUCUAUUUUUUGUGAUACUUUUUUAUUCAUUGAUAUUAUCGAUAUAUUUUUUAAUUCUUUAUUCUUUUUUUAAUUUUAAAUUUUAGGUAAAGGCUUUUUUUGUUUUGUUUUCUUUCAAUUUAUUUACUAUUUGGUAGAGUUAUAUCAUCCUUGGUCUCUAGUAAAACUAUGUCUUUCUAAGAUACAAUGUAUGAUUUUGUACUUCAUAUUAGUAUUUAUCUUAUAAAAUAUUUUUUUAAAAAUUAAAACCCAGUGCCUUAGCUGGUUCGAUCUUCGGUCGGUUCUGAUAACUAUGGGCGGAAGAGCAACUAUGUUUUUGAAGUUCACUUGUGUUUUGAAUCUCUUUGGGGUGUGGAAGUUAAUGCGCGCAAGAGUAUUUUCUAUCUUGUGUUAAUGUGCAGAGGUCAAAUUCCUUAGCAAAGAUAUUUUGGUUCAGAUGGGUUUUUUUUCAGCUUCUUAUUUUAGGACUUCCUUUGGGAGAAAGUAUAAGACAAAGGAAACAUGGUUGCAUGUGGUGGAAAGUUACGAGAGGAGGUUAUUAGGAUGGACAUUGAGUUAGUGUUCUAAGUGGGAGUACCGUUUUAUCAAGAGUUUGCUUUCCAAUUUUCCAACCUAUAAUUUGUCUAUGGUUUUUUCCCAACUUUUAUCAAGCGUCGUUUGGGAAAACUAAUGAGAGAUUUGAUUUUGUAACGAGGGAGGUUGGAAUACUAUUUAGUGAAAUAGGAUCGGGUUAGUCUCCAAUGAAGCAAGAAGGAUUGGGAUUAAAGAUUUUGCCUUUUAAUUCGGCUCCUUGAUAAGUUAUGGUGGUGGUUCGCAGUGGAACAAUUUAAUUUUUUUUGAGGAACAAAGUGGUUUUAGUCAAUUUAGGCAGCACUUGGGGUAUGAAUAUUGUGAAGGGUCCAUAUGGAGUUGGUUUGUGAUAGCUCGGGGAUGGGAGAUUUUUUAUCAAUUUUUAUCCUAUCUAUAAGGUGGGUGAAGUAUAGAGGAUUAGAUUUUGGCGUGAUCCGUCAAUUGUUGAUCAUUUGUUUGAUGGAUAGUUUUCAUAAUCUAUUUGCCGUUGUGGUUGACAAGACAACUUUUAUUUUGUCUCUAUGUUUUUCUAUAAAAGAUGGCAUAUGUGUUGUAAAAGAUGGUCUUAAUAAACUGAUGACACUUAUUAGGGCAAACCAAGAAGAUUUUAACAAUUCCAAGGCUGUGUAGAUACAUGUACUGUUGUCAAUCUUGUUUCUCAGUCAUGUUAUGUGUCCAUUAAAGUGGAAAAUCCCGAACCUCUACUAGUUGAAACUGAGAUUGUGUGACGCCAGCAAAUUGAGGAAAAUGCUGAAGUUUAUUUUGAGUUAUUCAUCACCGAAGAGAAGAUGGUUUGAGAAGUUGAUCCAUACGAAGUUGAUAAUGUUGAAUUCAUCAUUCUAGUUAAUCUACAACAUCUAACACCUUUGAAUGCAAAAGUAGUGCUAUCAUAAAUUAUCUUUUGAAUAAUUUUUGAUACAUUUCGUUUCGUGUGAAGAUCUAUGAGAUGUCCACAUAUUGUGUCUUAUGCGGAGGAGUUCCAAGGAUUAUUCUAGCAUAUUACGGAACUUGAGUUCGAGUUUUUUCCAACCCGAAGAGGAUGAUGAGGACUAGAAGUCAAGAGCAAAGAAAAGACUAAAGAAAAGACUUUAUAAUUACUAUUUGGAAUUUUUAUUAUAUUUAUAUUUAUUAGGAAAUAUUAUUAUCGUAUUUUAAUCGUUUAGUACUUUUACUGUUCUUCAUGUAAUAUUUGGGUUUUGAGUCUCUUUAAAUGGUGUUGUAACUUGUAAUCCUCACAAGAUUAUUAUUCCACAUGUUAUAUUAUUGGUAAUUGAUAUUGAGUUAUGAGCUAUUUUAUAG
rnacentral:lncRNA from 1 species